GGUUAAGGCUCCCAGUAGACGACUGGGUUGAUAGGCCAGAUGUGGAAGCCCGGUAACGGGUGGAGCUGACUGGUACUAAUAGGCCGAGGGCUUGUCCUCAGUUG
rnacentral:rRNA from 2 species